UUGAUUCCUGUGAAGAUUUGCUGAUGACGAUCACAGUUCCUGCAAAACACAGACAAACAGACAAGCUAACAAACAAAACUAGAAAACAAACAGAGACAGAAGACUGACAUGUGGUCACAGUAAACCUGUUUUCAUACUUUCCCUUAUAUCUCAGCCUGAUAUAAACUGAUUAUAAAAACUGUGGUGAGUUUCACUGAUGAGUUUCGGUAGAGGAACCGGUUUGGCUUGUUCUUUGUAUCUUGUCAAUCUUAUAAGUUGCACAAUUGCUAGAACACUUUUUAUACAUUUUACUGUUCAAGAACCAAAAGACUAAAAGUGUGUUGUCUGGUCCUCCUGUGGAGCAGACCUCAGAGAGCUGGUGGGUAAGAUCCUCUACAAACCAGCUGUGUGCUCAUGUUUUUGGGAGGUGUGUUUCCUCAUUGUCUAUAAAAACUGAAGAACGCCACCGUCAACAGAUCAGCAGCUCUGUUCCAGUAGAAGUGUUGGUGUGUGAAUGAGCAGAAGCCGGGGUUGGAUUUCUCCAGUCAGUCCUUUCAGCUGACUGGUUUACGAUGACUGGAGCACAGUCACUGUGUGCUUCAGUGUCACAGCUCUCCUCUCAUCAAACACACUGUGGUGAAGCCGCUGUCCACCGCCUGCACCAGCAACAAACUGCAGACACAAGGUCACAUCUGGAAGGUAGAGAGCCACAAGAUGUCUGCUGUGUGAAGAGCUUUUUCAGCUAACAUGUCCUCAUCUUUACAACAGUGGGGUGUCGCCACAAACCUGACAUCCUGGUGAACCAUGGUGAAUCACAUCCACAAAACAACACAAAACUGUGGAGAAAUAAAGGCUGAUCUUUAAAACAUUGACACUGUGAUUUUGAGCUUCAGGGAUAAACAACACUCCUGAAUCCAGCUGUUUUUAAAGGACCAGGCAGCGACAGAGGAUGAGAGGCAGUAGUCAUGUUCAUUUACUGUCAUUGCAUACACGUGGAUACAAACAGGGAAAAAAAAAACACAAAACUAAGGAUGAACACAGGAAAAAAAAAAAAAAAACAAA